CAAGCAUGUAGAGCCAUCUGAUAUUGCCACGGAAUCAGAAACAUGUCCUGCUGACCAGCGUAUAGGGUUCAGUUCAGAUAGAGCUCUGGUGGCGGGGUCACUCGUGGCAGGAACUGUGAACCUGACUUGCACAGUGGAAUACACAUCUGUCACAAUGGGCUGCAAACACCAAACACAAACAAGCUGUCCUUUGCCUCAGAAAGCCUGUUGUGAGCCUGGGGGUCACAUCCAGAGGGCCAGAUGUUCAGAAGGAGAGAAGUAAUGCUCUGGAGACCAAAUGUUCCAUGACUGACACUUCGUUCUGAAAAAAGAAACCAGGGCAAAUGGACUUUUCAAACCAUUUGGUGAUAAAAUCUGGAGAAAUGAAAUUUUAAGUAACAAAGGCUGGCUCUCUAAAUUCUAUGAUCUACGAAGGAAAAAGGGGAGUCCCUGUGACACGUGGUACAGCCCAACAGAGAGUGAGACACCAGUGCCAUCUACCAACCCCACGUACUGACUGCUUUCACAUGAUGGGCACUCAGAAAAGACUUGCUUGCAAUGGGAUCUUUGUUGACUUGAUCUGACCACUUUAAUCCCAAUCUCCAGAGGGCCACUCGGCAAAGUCUGGUUCCAGGAGGGAGGCCAGGAGGGGGAAGUCACAAGAGCAGAACUCUGUGGAGUCAAAGCCAGAGGCCAUGGGCAUGGAGGACCACCAGUCAACCACUCACUGUUUUAGCUGACUUCAGGAACAAGUAGGGAUUGGACUGACAGAGAUCAAAAUAUAGGCUUGAUCAUAAGACUCAACUCAGGUGGCCCCCAAUGGCAUUUGGCAAGUGUGCUGCAUGUCCCGGCCACACAUGCCCUUUCACGCUUCUGGCUGGCUGUUCCUCGUCUUUUCUGUGCUCUUCAAACUGCCAGCUCCUUAUGCUCCAUCUUCAGGGGCCCUGUUGUGAGCACAGGCGGCACUGCUCUCCAAUGUUAACCAGUUUGGGAAAGUGAACCUCACAGAAGCUAAGUGAUUCAUCCAAAGUGAGACACACAGAGCACGCGGCAGAGCUUAAAGGUCUGCAGGCCCUGUAAUUUCACAAGCAUCCUUAAACGUGGAAGAGGGAGGCAGGCGACAGAGGGAGUGUCAUGAAAUGGGAGAAGGACUCAAUCUAAUGCUGCCUGCUUUGAAGAUAGAGUGGAAGAGACAAGGAACGUGGUCAGCCGCUAAAAAUUAGGAAAGGGAAGGAAAUAGAUUCUCUUCUACAGUCUCCCCAGAAAAGAACACAGUCCUGCCAACACCUGGAUUUCAGCCUAGGAAGAAAGACCUCUGUCUACAAAAUCAUAAGAUAAUAAAUUUUUGUUGUUUUAA